rnacentral:rRNA from 1 species
CCAGCUCCAAUAGCGUAUAUUAAAGUUGUUGCAGUUAAAAAGCUCGUAGUUGAACCUUUGGGACUGCCUGUGGGUUCCGCGCAAGCGGCGACUCACUGUGUAGGCCUACUUUUGAGGGUCGGGCCUUUGGCUCGCCUCCCUCGGGUUACUGUGAAGAAAUUAGAGUGUUUAAAGCAGGCUUACGCUUGAAUACAUCAGCAUGGAAUAACAAGCAAGACUAGAGUCUUCUUGUUGGUUUGGAGACUAGAGUAAUGAUUAAUAGGGCCAGUUGGGGGCAUUAGUAUUCAGUAGUCAGAGGUGAAAUUCUUGGAUUUACUGAAGACUAACUAGUGCGAAAGCAUUUGCCAAGGAUGUUUUCA